UACGAAGGGGGCUAGCGUUGCUCGGAAUCACUGGGCGUAAAGCGCACGUAGGCGGGUCGUUAAGUCAGGGGUGAAAUCCCGGAGCUCAACUCCGGAACUGCCUUUGAUACUGGCGAUCUUGAGUUCGAGAGAGGUGAGUGGAACUGCGAGUGUAGAGGUGAAAUUCGUAGAUAUUCGCAAGAACACCAGUGGCGAAGGCGGCUCACUGGCUCGAUACUGACGCUGAGGUGCGAAAGCGUGGGGAGCAAACAGG
rnacentral:rRNA from 2 species